rnacentral:misc_RNA from 1 species
GAACGCACCUUGCACCCUUUGGUAUUCCGAAGGGUAUGCUCGUUUGAGUGUCAUUGUACUCUCACACUCUCUGAUCUUUUUGGAUUCAGGGAGCGGUGGACUUGGGUGUUUGCUGCUUACCUGCAGCUCACCUCAAAUGCGUCAGUGCAUCUCUUGGUUGGACAUAGUACGGCGUGAUAAGUAUCUUCGCCGGCACCUCGCAAGAGGGUGGCCGAUUGGGAGCUCUGUGCUUUCAAACCGUCUUCGGACAAUUUCUGACAACUUGACCUCAAAUCGAGUAGGACUACCCGCUGAACUUAAG